rnacentral:rRNA from 1 species
UGGGGAAUAUUGGACAAUGGGCGCAAGCCUGAUCCAGCCAUGCCGCGUGAGUGAUGAAGGCCCUAGGGUUGUAAAGCUCUUUCACCGGUGAAGAUAAUGACGGUAACCGGAGAAGAAGCCCCGGCUAACUUCGUGCCAGCAGCCGCGGUAAUACGAAGGGGGCUAGCGUUGUUCGGAUUUACUGGGCGUAAAGCGCACGUAGGCGGGCUUUUAAGUCAGGGGUGAAAUCCCGGGGCUCAACCCCGGAACUGCCUUUGAUACUGGAAGUCGUGAGUGUGGUAGAGGUGAGUGGAAUUCCGAGUGUAGAGGUGAAAAUCGUAGAUAUUCGGGGGAACACCAGUGGCGAAGGCGGCUCCCUGGACCAUUACUGACGCUAAGGUGCGAAAGCGUGGGGAGCAAACAGG